rnacentral:rRNA from 1 species
UACGUAGGGUGCAAGCGUUGUCCGGAAUUAUUGGGCGUAAAGGGCGCGUAGGCGGCCACGCACGUCCGUUGUGAAAUCGCCCGGCUCAACUGGGCGGGGUCGGCGGAUACGGCGUGGCUGGAGCAAGCUAGGGGGCAAUGGAAUUCCCGGUGUAGUGGUGGAAUGCGUAGAUAUCGGGAGGAACACCAGUGGCGAAGGCGGUUGCCUGGAGCUUUGCUGACGCUGAUGCGCGAAAGCGUGGGGAGCGAUCCGG